CUACGGGUCGCACCAGUGGGGAAUCUUAGACAAUGGGGGAAACCCUGAUCUAGCCAUGCCGCGUGAGCGACGACGGCCCUAGGGUUGUAAAGCUCUUUCAGCAGGGAAGAUAAUGACGGUACCUGCAGAAGAAGUCCCGGCUAACUCCGUGCCAGCAGCCGCGGUGAAUACGGAGGGGACUAGCGUUGUUCGGAAUUACUGGGCGUAAAGCGCGCGGAGGCGGAUUGUUAAGUCGGGGGUGAAAUCCCGGGGCUCAACCCCGGAACUGCCCUCGAUACUGGCAGUCUUGAGUUCGAGAGAGGUGAGUGGAAUUCCGAGUGUAGAGGUGAAAUUCGUAGAUAUUCGGAGGAACACCAGUGGCGAAGGCGGCUCACUGGCUCGAUACUGACGCUGAGGUGCGAAAGCGUGGGGAGCAAACAGGAUUAGAUACCCUAGUAGUC
rnacentral:rRNA from 1 species